rnacentral:rRNA from 1 species
GGGAAUAUUGGACAAUGGGCGAAAGCCUGAUCCAGCAAUGCCGCGUGGAUGAAGAAGGUUUUCGGAUUGUAAAGUCCUUUCGGCGGGGACGAUGAUGACGGUACCCGCAGAAGAAGCCCCGGCUAACUUCGUGCCAGCAGCCGCGGUAAUACGAAGGGGGCUAGCGUUGCUCGGAAUGACUGGGCGUAAAGGGCGCGUAGGCGGUAUGGACAGUCAGGUGUGAAAUUCCCGGGCUUAACCUGGGGACUGCAUUUGAUACGUUCAAACUAGAGUGUGGAAGAGGGUCGUGGAAUUCCCAGUGUAGAGGUGAAAUUCGUAGAUAUUGGGAAGAACACCGGUGGCGAAGGCGGCGACCUGGUCCUUGACUGACGCUGAGGCGCGAAAGCGUGGGGAGCAAA